rnacentral:rRNA from 1 species
AAUGAACGUUGGCGGCGUGGAUUAGGCAUGCAAGUCGUACGCCCCGCAAGGGGCGUGGCGCAAGGGUGAGUAAGGCGACGGCAACCAACCCGGGAGCCGGACAUAGCCGCGGGAAACUGCGGGUAAUAUCCGGCGCCGUCGAGAGGAGGCAUCUCCGCUCGACGAAAGGUGCGAUUCCGCUCCCGGACGGGCCGUCGUGGUAUUAGCUAGAUGGCGGGGUAACGGCCCACCAUGGCUGCGAUGCCUACCGGGCGUGCGAGCGUGGCCCGGCACACUGGGACUGAGGCACUGCCCAGACACCUACGGGUGGCUGCAGUCGAGAAUCUUCGGCAAUGGGCGCAAGCCUGACCGAGCGACGCCGCGUGGAGGAUGAAGGCCUUCGGGUUGUAAACUCCUGUCGAGGGGGAACAAGGUGGCGCGAAGAGCGUCGCUUGAGUGAUCCCUGGAGGAAGCACGGGCUAAGUUCGUGCCAGCAGCCGCAGUAACAC